GACGAACGCUGGCGGCGUGCUUAACACAUGCAAGUCGAACGGAAAGGCCCUGCUUUUGUGGGGUGCUCGAGUGGCGAACGGGUGAGUAACACGUGAGUAACCUGCCCUUGACUUUGGGAUAACUUCAGGAAACUGGGGCUAAUACCGGAUAGGAGCUCCUGCUGCAUGGUGGGGGUUGGAAAGUUUCGGCGGUUGGGGAUGGACUCGCGGCUUAUCAGCUUGUUGGUGGGGUAGUGGCUUACCAAGGCUUUGACGGGUAGCCGUCCUGAGAGGGUGACCGGCCACAUUGGGACUGAGAUACGGCCCAGACUCCUACGGUAGGCAGCAGUGGGGAAUAUUGCACAAUGGGCGGAAGCCUGAUGCAGCAACGCCGCGUGCGGGAUGACGGCCUUCGGGUUGUAAACCGCUUUCGCCUGUGACGAAGCGUGAGUGACGGUAAUGGGUAAAGAAGCACCGGCUAACUACGUG
rnacentral:rRNA from 1 species